AUACAACUUUCAGCAACGGAUCUCUUGGCUCUCGCAUCGAUGAAGGACGCAGCGAAUCGCGAUAAUAAUGUGAAUUGCAGAUUUUCCGUGAAUCAUCGAAUCUUUGAACGCACCUUGCGCUCCUUGGUAUUCCGAGGAGCAUGCCUGUUUGAGUGUCAUCGAAA
rnacentral:rRNA from 1 species